rnacentral:rRNA from 1 species
GAUGAACGCUAGCGGCAGGCCUAAUACAUGCAAGUCGAACGAUACCAGAGAGCUUGCUUUCUGGGAAAGUGGCGCACGGGUGCGUAACGCGUAUGCAACCUACCUUAAUCAGGGGGAUAGCCUCUCGAAAGAGAGAUUAACACCGCAUAACAUCAUUUUAAGGCAUCGUAGAAGGAUCAAAUAUUUAUAGGAUUAAGAUGGGCAUGCGUGACAUUAGCUAGUUGGUGAGGUAACGGCUCACCAAGGCUACGAUGUCUAGGGGAUCUGAGAGGAUGACCCCCCACACUGGUACUGAGACACGGACCAGACUCCUACGGGAGGCAGCAGUAAGGAAUAUUGGUCAAUGGAGGCAACUCUGAACCAGCCAUGCCGCGUGCAGGAAGACGGCCCUAUGGGUUGUAAACUGCUUUUAUACGGGAAUAAACCUCUCUACGUGUAGGGAGUUGAAUGUACUGUAAGAAUAAGGAUCGGCUAACUCCGUGCCAGCAGCAGCCGCAG